CGCAGAGUUCUCGGCGCGGGUGGCCGAGGUGUGGCCGGCUUCGUGCCGGAGCUUGUAGUUUGUCGUGGCGGGAUCGAGGGCUCCGCCGAUCCCUGCAGCUCAGGCGGUGCCGGUGGGAACAAGUGAUCCGUCCAUCAGAUCGCAGGCGGGGGGAGAAUGAUUGUCGCUGAAUCCUGGGGUCACCGCCGUUCGUCUCAUGCUUUUCACUGGAUCGGUCGACCCUCUCCUUAUGCACCGGUAAGAAACCUUUCCCCUUUCGAAUUCGUCCAUAAAACGUGUAGUUGCUGUUGAUGUUGGGUUCUGGAUCGCUGUGUCAUGGGCGCCUAUGAGCUCAUCGCGGUGGGACCGCUUCGCGUCGGGCGGCCAUGGCUAGCUAGUAGGGAGAGAAGGAACGCUGGGAGGCCGUGAGGUAGAAGACAUCGCGCGACCGUCGGAUUUGAACUGAGGGCUGAGAUUAGAUCUGGGAGGGUUGGUUGUCGGCCGUUGAUGCGAGGAUGGACGAACCGGAUCAGGACUCCCAAACCGCUUCACGUUAUUUAAUCGGAGUCGUUGAUCUUCGAAUCCACGAUCGAAAUCGAGUCUUCGCUAUUUUAAAUCUCUGCCAUUGAUUCCGGAUCCAAGGGGCCGGAUGGCGUACAGGUUCGUGGCCGACUAGUUUUAAUCUGGACGCCCCGUUAGGAUCAGGCGGCCGAGAUCAAACCGCACCUAUUCGCUCUGGCACAAUUGCAUAAGAGUCCCUCGGGAAGUAGGAAAUAGAACCCACCAUCCACCUUCACUGUGCGCCGUGUCUUGGGGGUUUUGUCCCGAACCCCCUGGGUUUCUCUAGAUUUGAGGCCUGGUCCAGUGUAAUAUUAAACCAGAGAAAUUAAUCUAUAAAUGGGUUUUUAAUAAAUAAAUAAAUGUUAGAACUUGAUUAAAUCAUAGAAAAUCCAUUUUUAGUCCAAAUUAACCCAUUCAACUUUCUAUAUUUUUGUAAUAUUAUUCUCUAUCACUUAGAGACUCUGUUUUGUCAUGAAAAUAGUAAGAAAAAUAAUUCCCCAUUAAUCCUAUUUUAAGCACAUAAAACCUUUGGAAAUUCAUAUCUUAAAAUCUAUAACUCCAAAAAUUAUGAUUCCUGUUCCUAGGAUUUUAUUUUAACGAGUAGAUUAUUAUUAUGUAUUUUUUACAUGUUUGGUGUGAUGUUAAUUUUCUCUAUAUAUUGUGCUUGUUUGUAUUGUGGCGAGUAGAAGAGCCUAUGACCGAGGAUCCUGGUGACCAGCUGAUAGAAGUAGCUGAGCAGGAGCUCAUUGAAGGCAAGUUGUGCCCUUGAUCACUUCUUUUACCCAUUCAUGUUCUUAUUAAUCAUAAUGAUUUGCAUAGGUUAAUUUUGAUGGGACCCAAUAGGUUACCCUAGAUUUUGACUAUCUUUAUACCUUGUUUCACCACUAGUUUUACUACUAAAUUUUUGGAUAGUACAUGCUAUUGCUUUAUGUGGCUUUGGGUAUAAAGAUAUUCAUCACUCAUUGUUAUACUUUUUAUUAUCUGUUUAUUAUUAUUAUUCAUGAUAAGAUCAUUAUGUUAAUGGGAACAUGGAGAACCACCCAGGAAAACAGUGCUACCACAAGAGUUUAAUGGGACGCCCUUGGCUGAUUAACUAGGAAAGCUAGUGGAUGACUACCUUACCUGAAAGGGGCAAGGGCAGUAGGGGAGUGGUCAGUGUAGGGAGGUCCUUGGGUUGAUUUUGCUGCGAUGGCGGUCAGGCGAGGGAUUCCUGCACUGGAGCUUCCUAUAAACUGUAGCGGGUUUUCUGAAGCUAGUGGAACUUUGUAAAGGCCUCGUAGUGGUACCCUGCCUCGCUUCCUAGGUAGAGGUGUAUGGAGUCUGAUCAACUCCGUGGCAAAUGGGUAACACGACUUGUGGGUAAAGAUGCGCAACCUCUGCAGAGUGUACAACUGGUAUACUAGCCGUGCUCACGGUCAUGAGCGGCUCGGACACUCACAUGAUUAACUUAUGGAACUUAAACUUAAUCUAUCAUUUCAUUGCAUCUGGGAUUAUUUCAUUAUUACUUUUAUUUAUUAUUUCUAAGGUUUGGUAUUUACUUAUACUUAGUAAUUGCUAAUAAAAUUUUGACCAACUUAUAAAAGCAAUGCUCAGCUUCAGCCUUUAUUUCAUUGAUCAGCCUUACACUUCAUGAACUCCCACCUUUGGUGAGUUCAUGCCACAUUAUUCCCCACAACUUGUUGAGCGAUGAACAUGUAGGGGUGGGCACAUUUUUACCAGAAACCGAAAACCGAACCGAACCGAACCGAACCGAAAUUUCGGUUUUUCGGUAGUUCGGUUCGGUUUUGGUUUUUGUAUCUCAAAAGUUCGGUUUUUGGUAUCGUAAUCGGUUUUACCGUAUACCAAACCGAAAUACCAAAAAACCGAAUUACCUAACUUUAUCAAUUCUAAAAUUUGGCUAUUCGAUUAUGUGAACUAAAUGUGUGAAACAAUUAAAUUGUUAUUACUUAUUUAUAUGUGAUGUAUGAUGUAUCUCUAAAUAUUUGUACAUAUAUAAUUUUGACUUUUUAAAAUUAUGUGUAAUCUAUCAUAUAAACUUUUUGUAUGUGUUGUCUUGAGUACAAGUUUGGUAUUCGGUUUUUACCGAAAAACCGAUGUAAAAAACCGAAACCGAACUUCUCGGUUUUCCAUUUUCAAGAAAACCGAUCGGUUUCUAAUGUUUAGAAAACCGAAGUUUUUUAAAACCGAAAAACCAAACCGAAGUUUCAAAAAAACCGAAUGCCCAGCCCUAUGAACAUGUGUGAGCUCACCCUUGCUGUCUCACACCCCCACAAGAGAAGAACAGGUGAUCGAAGAGGAGCCGCCUAACACUGAGGCUUUCGACUUGAUCUAGGUGGCGUCUCCCAGUCAGCUUUUUAGCGCCAAGGAUAGAUUUUAGAUCCUGUGAUAUUUAUCUCUUAUUUUGUAAGACUUCCGCUAUGUAAUAAGUACUCUGAUUAUAUUGUGACAUUUAUCUCUAUACACUCUGUUAUUAUAUAUGUUGUCUUCUCUGGCGCAUGUAUGAGAUGCACCCGGCUUUGUCCCUUAAAGCCCAGGUGUGACAGAAGUGGUAUCAGAGGAAAUAUUGACUGUAGGACGAAACCUAGAUAGAAAUGGACAAACCCUUACCUACUUAUCUUACUCUGAUUCAUUCUAUACUUAUCUCACUCUGAUUCUUUCUAUACUUAUCUUGAUCCUGUCUCACCUUCUACUGUUCCACUCUGAUCAUUCUUAUCUUUUCUACUCUGAUACAAGAUGGAUUUCACACCUUGGAAUCCUACAUUUAUGACCUUCUUAAGAGAUAGGGAACCUAAGACAAAAAAAUAAAACUAUUUUCUCUAUUAAAAAAAUGUUGGUUGAUUGUUCCGAUGAUAAUUGCUUGAUUUGCUUCUUUGAUUGAUUGAAACAUUAUAGUCGGGCAUCUUAGCAUGUACCACUCUAAGGUAAUGUAUUAGCUUCUGUGGGUGACACACUAAUCUACUUAGCUAAUAAAUCCCCCGUAGUAACAUUCCUCGUAAUUACUCGCCUUGUCUACAAUUCUUCCUCUCUUACCCUAUGUUUCUAACCCAGAUAGGCUACCCCUAUACUGUUAGAAGAGAGCAGUAUAGACUUGAUCCUUGGUAUGUCAUGGUUAAGAAAGGCAAAGGUAGUAUUUACACUGUGCUAAGGGAACCGUAGAACUCACUAGUUCCAAAGGACAAAGAUUUGAAGUUGAAGUUGCAGUAACUACCAUCAUCAGACUAGCAUCAUUCCUAGAAGAUGAGAAGUCUGUGGGUGACAACAUCCGUGCAGUUAGAGAUUUUCCGGAUGUCUUUCCAGAUGAGUUAUUAGGGAUGCCACCAGAUAGGGAAGUCGAGUUUGUCAUUGAUCUCUUACCUGAGACUGCCCCUAUUUCUAAACGGCCAUACAUGACGUCCGUAGAAGAACUAAAGGAACUUAAGAAGCAAUUAAUGGAAUUACAAGAGGCUGGGUACAUUUGUCCGAAUUCUUCACCUUGUGGAGCGCCGAUUCUAAAUGUACAGAAGAAAUAAGGAUCGCAAGGGAUGUACGUAGAUUAUAUGUCCCUUAACGAUGUCACUGUGAAGAACAAGUGUCUAUUACCCCACAUUGAGGAUUUAAUCAGAUGAGAGGUGCUAGGGUAUUCUCGGAGAUUGAUCUCUGAUCGGGUUACCAUCAAAUUAAGAUUAGGCCAUCGGAUAUUCCCAAGACGGAUUUCUCGACCCGAUAUGGUUUAUAUGAGUUCAAGGUUAUGUCAUUUGGACUAACUAAUGUAGUAGCCUAUUUUAUGGACCUAAAGAAUAAGGUGUUCGUGAUCUGGAUAGAUUCGUUGUGGUUUUCAUCAAAGAUAUUUUUAUUUAUUCCAAGAGUGAUAGUGAUCAUGAGGAACAUCUAAGAUUGGUGCUACAGAAGCUACGAGAUAAUCAACUCUAUGCCAAGUACAGUAAAUGUGAGUUCUGGAUUGAUGAAGUGUCAUUCCUUGGACAUAUCAUUCCUAAUGGAGGGAUAUCAGUGGAUCCUGCUAAAGUCAAGGAGAUAGUGGCGUGGAGCAUACCCACUACAGUUACGGAGAUCCAGAGUUUCUUGGGACUUGUAGGAUAUUAUCGGAGAUUUAUUGAAGGAUUUUCUAAGAUCGAUAAGCCUAUGACCUCGCUUCUGGAGAAAGGAAGAGAAUUUAAGUAGGAUGAGAAGUGCCAAGAAAGCUUUGAUCAAUUAAAGGAGAGAUUGAUGUCACCACCAGUGUUGGUUAUGCUAGAUCUAUUGAAGUGAUUUGACAUUUAUUGUGAUGCAUGUGGCCAAGGAUUGGGAUGUGUGCUCAUGCAAGAAGGACAUGUGAUCGCCUAUGUGUCUCGUCAGUUGCCGAAACAUGAAUUGAACUACCCCACUCAUGACUUAGAACUGGCAGCGGUUGUGCACACACUUAAGAUAUGGAGACAUUACAUUAUGGGAACUAAGUGCCAAGUGUACACGGAUCAUAAGAGUAUGAAGUAUAUAUUCACUCAGAAGGAUCUCAACCUUAGGCAACACCGUUGGUUGGUGCUUAUUAAGGAUUAUGAUUUGGAGAUUCACUAUCACCCGGGCAACGCGAAUUUGGUUGCAGAUGCCUUGAGUCGAAAGGAGUAUGUUCAUUCAGCUGUUGUUGCCCAGCUUGUGGGGGACAGAUAUCCCCCGGGUCCACUAAAAGAGUAAAAGACCUCACGAAAGGCCCAAGGGCCCAAUAAGUCGUAAGGUCAUUCUUUCGUGGGCCUGGGGAGGGACAAUUAGCAAAGCAGAUCGACAUGAGGCCGGAUUGAUGCCAGCCCGGACGGCCCACAACGUCGAGCGAGCGACCACAACAGAGAUCCGACUUUCCCGCGCUGAAGCCCCCAUGCAACGGAGCCAUGCGAGGAUAGGUCGGCAGAACUACAGGGAGAUAAACUCAAACAGUUCACUAUCUUUUAGCUACACAUUGUUAUCAUAUCCACGUGUAUUGCCCCACGGUCGAGUAUAUAAGGCCUAGGGGGCACCCCUCCAGAACGAUCGACCCUAUUACUUAGCCACCCACUUCAACUCUCUGCAUUCUCAAUUCGGAGAGCUCUCUUGUAACCUCACUCACCAAGCAUACUCACCAGGACGUAGGGUGUUACGCAUCUCUAAGCGGCCCGAACCUAUAAACAUUGUCCACUGUCCCUCGUGCAACUGGCACGAACCAUUUUGCUACAGUCGUCGACACCGUCCAACUCCUAAAAACACCUUGAGGGGCAACCCUGGGUGUGCGGUCGGACCCAAAACACCGACAGCUGGCGCGCCAGGUAGGGGGUGUGUCGACGAUCCAAGCUAGCUCAAUGGCCGUCACCUUCCACAGCAAGAUCACCCUCUGUCCCGGAUCCGUAUUCUGCUUCGGAACAAUCUCAUCCGUAGCAGAUGAAGAGGGAACUCUACAUCGCAUUGUGGAUCCACCGGAAAAGAAGUCUUCUCCAACAAGCUCCGAAAAUGUCGGAGAAGCGCAACCUCCAGUUCUCCGGAAAAAUAUCGUCUCCGGAAAGUCAGGGGCCAAGGGCCCGCUGACCCGGAGAACUCCACUGUCUACUUCCCCGACAAAAGAAUGGACACAGAUCGCGAGGAAGAAGGAGACCAAGGGGAAGCAAGUUGUUCUUUCCGUUCCUCUGCCCUCAAAGGAGAGCGGAAAGAAGGUCGCCACGACAGCAGCACCAUUCUAUCCUGACGUCCUCUUCAUCGGGAGAGUGGAGUCGCCUACCGUCUCCGACGACGAGCCGACCGCACCCGGAGAGGAACCACCUCAACGAGAAUCCCGCUGACGGAGAAACCGGCGCAAGAACGUUCGACGACAUCACGCAGCCGGAGAACGGGAUCCGGAGCAACCUAUCUCGCGAGACGAGGUCUCGGAGAUAGGGGAAACUCCAGAGGAACGCGUCUUCAGAGAACGAAGGAACUCCCGACGACGUGAUCGCCGCCGGGCUCAGGAACAAGCCGAGCAAGAUGCAAGGCAACGCCGGGAGAAUCCAUUCUUCGGACGCAACCUGAAUCCCGACUUCGCCCGAGCCAUGAACACACCGAGCGAAGUUGGAGGAGUACUAGCUCGGAUAGCUGAUGGACUCCCUCGGACUCCCGACGCCGAGGGCUACCGACGACUGUUCACCCAGGCGGCCAACCAUCUUCUACUGCUUGCUCACCCGCCGAACGAUCUACGACACGCCAUCAACAGUCGCUGAGACGCGCGAAGCUCCAUCAAUGCUUCGCGUGAACGACAGCAUGAGAACGAGAUCCGCCGCCGCGAGGAGUAUGACAGGGAUCAUGGCAUCCCAGCUCAGAGCCAGGCCACCAGAACUGAGUCGGCAACAGCCUCAACUGGCGGAACUACCCGGGGACGGUCGAGGAACCACAACAACUACUCCCCUCCCCGGGACAGACAUCAUCCCCGACGAUAGGAGGACACGUGUGGAGUGUCUGCUCUUACUCCGCGCCUUAGGGCCAUCCAAUGGCCUCCCAACUUCAAGGUAUCCAACGUCGACAAAUAUAAACCUAAGCAGGAUCUAGGGGGUUGGCUAGCUGUCUACACCACCGCUGCUCGAGCUGCCGGGGCGUCUGAAGACGUGAUGACUGCGUACUUACCCAUUGUCCUUGGGCAAGACGCGCUGCAAUGGCUGUGACAUCUACCCCGACACUGCAUCGACGACUGGGGCGACUUCAGUCGACGCUUCACCGCCAAUUUCCAGCCCCUCUCCGACAAACCGGCACAACCAUGGGACCUCAAAUCUAUCAAGCGUUGGGGGACGAAACUCUCCAGUCGUACCUCAAAAGGUUCCAGACCAUGAGAAAUCGUAUCCCCGAGGUCACGGAGGCGGCCGUGAUCGAGGACUUCUACAAAGGAUCCAACGACUCGGCCUUCGUCCGAGCCAUAUUACAGAAGGCGCCGACUACCUCCGAGGAGCUGUUCCGGGAAGCCGACCUCUACAUCACCGCCGACGAGCGAGCCCAGGACCUCAUCGGAGGAGCAAAGCCCGCACCGGCGGCACCACGACGCGACGCGAACCAGCAACCCGACAAACGCUAGGAGAAGAGGCCCCGCGAAGAAGUACACGCCACUGGGCCACCAGCUUCUCGCGCCCGAGGAGGACCUCGCGGAGGCGAGCGCACGCUGGACGACAUCCUCGACGCCCAGUGCCCGUACCACAAGGACAUGCGCCACACUCUUCGUAACUGCCGGGACUUCAAGCACUCCGUCGGGCACGGCCGGCCCUUCCAACCUCUACCUCCCCCUCCACCGAGGGGAGGACCAGAUGAACCACGACAGCCCCAUCAGCAGGAGGAGGGAGGAGGAGGAGCCUUCCCGCGCGUUGACAGGGAGGUCAACGUCAUCUUCGGCGGACAUGGGUCGCAGGAGAACAAAAGGCAACAAAAGCUCAACGACCGCCAGAUAUUGGUGGCGACCACCGGUCCUCCCGCCCCAUACCGGUGGUUGGAGCACCCGAUCACUUUCACUUGGGAGGAUCAAUGGCUCAACUUCGACCACCCAGGCAAAUACCCGCUCCUCGUCGAUCCGGUGAUCCGAGAGAGCCGGGUGAAGAAGGUGCUAGUGAAAGGGGGGAGCAGUAUCAACGUCACCUUCCCCCGGACACUCCAAGGCUUGGGAGUUCACCUCAAAGAGCUCCAUGAGUCGGACACUCCCUUCUUCGGCAUCGUGCCGACUGAAGGGGAAUACCCGCUAGGCCACAUCUACAUGCCUGUCACCUUCGGAACUCCAGAGAACUACAGAACCGAGUUCCUGAGGUUCGAAGUGGCGAACUUCGACUGCGGGUACAACGCCAUCAUCGGGAGGCCGGGAUUGGCCAAAUUCAUGGCCAUUCCGCAUUACUGAAAGGGAAUUAGGCUUACACCUAGUCCCUAAUUAAUUUUGGUGGUUGAAUUGCCCAACACAAACAAAUUGGACUAACUAGUUUGCCCAAGUGUAUAGAUUAUACAGGUGUAAAAGGUUCACACUCAGCCAAUAAAAAGACCAAGUUUUGGAUUCAACAAAGGAGCAAAGAGGCAACCAAAGGCCCUCUGGUCUGGGAGCACCGGACUGUCCGGUGUACCAGAGGACUCCAACUCGAACUCGCCACCUUCGGGAAUUUCCAGAGGCGACUCCGCUAUAAUUCACCGGACUGUCCGGUGUACACCGGACAGUGUCCGGUGCACCAAGGGAGGUCGGCCUCAGAAACUCGCCAGCUUCGGGAAACUCCAACGGCUAGUCCGCUAUAAUUCACCGGACUGUCCGGUGCGACUCCGGAGCAACGGCUAUCUCCGCGCCAACGGCUCUCUGCCGCGCAUUUAAUGCGCGCUCUGCGCGCGCAGGUGUCAGGCGCGCCCAUUCCGGCACACCGGACAAGGAACAGUAGAUGUCCGGUGUGCACCGGACACCCAGGCGGGCCCACAAGUCAGAAGCUCCAACGGUCAGAAUCCAACGGCAGUGAUGGCGUGGCAGGGGCACCGGACUGUCCGGUGUGCACCGGACUGUCCGGUGCGCCAUCGAAUAGACAGCCUCCCAACGGCCACAUUUGGUGGUUGGGGCUAUAAAUACCCCAACCACCCCACCAUUCAUUGCAUCCAAGUUUUCCACUUCCCAACUACUACAAGAGCUCUAACAUUCAAUUCUAGACACACCUAAGAGAUCAAAUCCUCUCCAAUUUCCACACAACGCCAUAGUGACUAGAGAGAGUGAUUUGCUUGUGUUCCUUCGAGCUCUUGCGCUUGGAUUGCUUUCUUCUUUCUUGAUCCGUUCUUUGCAAUCAAACACACUUGUAAUUGAGGCAAGAGACACCAAUCUUGUGGUGGUCCUUGUGGGAACUUUGUGUUCCAAGUGAUUGAGAAAAGAAAGCUCACUCGAUCUGUGGAUCGUUUGAGAGAGGGAAGGGUUGAAAGAGACCCGGCCUUUGUGGCCUCCUCAACGGGGAGUAGGUUUGCAAGAACCGAACCUCGGUAAAACAAAUCUCCGUGUCUCACUUGCUUAUUCGCUUGGGAUUUGUUUUUGCGCCCUCUCUCGCGGACUCAUUUCUUUAUUACUAACACUAACCCGUCUUGUAGUUGUGUUUAUAUUUGUAAAUUUCAGUUUCGCCCUAUUCACCCCCCCUCUAGGCGACUUUCAAUUGGUAUCAGAGCCCGGUGCUUCAUUAGAGCCUAACCGCUCGAAGUGAUGUCGGGAGAUCACGCCAAGAAGGAGAUGGAGACCGGCGAAAAGCCCACUACAAGCCAAGGGAGCACUUCAUCGGAAGAGUCCCGCACCAAAAGGAGGGAGAAGAAGAAGAGCUCCUCCAACAAAGGGAAGGAGAAGAAAUCUUCUUCUCACCACAAAGAGAAGAAAGAAAAAUCUUCUUCCCACAAGCCGCAUCGGAGUAAGGACAAGCAAAAGAGGAUGAGGAAAGUGGUCUACUACGAGACCGACACUUCAUCAACAUCAACCUCCGACUCCGAUGCGCCCUCCGUAACUUCUAAACGCCGAGAGCGUAAGAAGUUUAGUAAGAUCCCCCUACACUACCCUCGCAUCACUAAACAUGCACCUUUACUUUCCGUCCCAUUAGGCAAACCACCAACUUUUGAUGGUGAAGAUUAUGCUAGGUGGAGUGAUUUAAUGCAAUUUCAUCUAACCUCACUCCACAAAAGUAUAUGGGAUGUUAUUGAGUUUGGUGCACAGGUACCGUCCGUAGGGGACAAGGAUUAUGAUGAGGAUGAGGUGGCCCAAAUCGAGCACUUCAACUCUCAAGCGACAACGAUACUCCUCGCCACUUUAAGUAGAGAGAAGUAUAACAAAGUUCAAGGGUUGAAGAGCGCCAAAGAAGUUUGGGAUGUGCUCAAAACCGCGCACGAGGGAGACGAGCUUACAAAGAUCACCAAGCGGGAAACGAUCGAGGGGGAGCUCGGUCGGUUCCGGCUUCGCAAAGGGGAGGAGCCACAACACAUGUACAACCGGCUCAAGACCUUGGUGAACCAAGUACGCAACCUCGGGAGCGUAAAAUGGGACGACCACGAAAUGGUUAAGGUUAUUCUAAGAUCUCUUAUUUUCCUUAACCCUACUCAAGUUCAAUUAAUUCGUGGUAAUCCUAGAUAUACUAAAAUGACCCCCGAGGAAGUUAUCGGGAAUUUUGUAAGUUUUGAGUGCAUGAUCGAAGGCUCGAGGAAGAUCAACGAGCUUGAUGAUCCAUCCACAUCCGAAGCUCAACCCGUCGCAUUCAAGGCGACAGAGGAAAAGAAGGAGGAGGCUACACCAACUCGACAACCAAUAGACGCCUCCAAGCUCGACAAUGAGGAAAUGGCGCUCGUCAUCAAAAGCUUCCGCCAAAUCCUCAAGCAAAGGAGAGGGAAAGACUACAAGUCCCGCUCCAAGAAGGUUUGCUACAAAUGUGGUAAGCCCGGUCAUUUUAUUGCUAAAUGUCCUAUAACAAGUGACAGUGACCGAGGCGACGACAAGAAGGGGAGAAGAAAUGAGAAGAAGAGAUACUACAAGAAGAGGGGCGGCGAUGCCCAUGUUUGUCGGGAGUGGGAUUCCGACGAAAGCUCAAGCGACUCCUCCGACGACGAGGACGCCGCCAACAUCGCCGUCACUAAAGGGCUUCUCUUCCCCAACGUCGGCCACAAGUGUCUCAUGGCAAAGGACGGCAAAAGGAAGAAGGUAAAAUCAAGAUCCUCCACUAAAUAUGAAACCUCUAGUGAUGAAAAUGCUAGUGAUGAGGAGGAUAACUUGCAUACCCUUUUUGCCAAUCUUAACAUGGAACAAAAAGAAAAAUUAAAUGAAUUAAUUAGUGCUAUUCAUGAAAAGGAUGACCUUUUGGAUUCCCAAGAGGAUUGUCUAAUUAAAGAAAACAAGAAACAUGUUAAGGCUAAAAAUGCUUAUGCUCUAGAAGUAGAAAAAUGUGAAAAAUUAUCUAGUGAGCUAAGCACUUGCCGUGAGAUGAUUGACAACCUUAGACAUGAAAAUGCUAGUUUAAAUGCUAAGGUUGAUUCACAUGUUUGCAACGUUUCAAUUCCCAAUCCUAGAGAUAAUAAUGAUGAUCUGCUUGCUAGGAUUGAAGAAUUAAACAUGUCUCUUGCUAGCCUUAGAAAUGAAAAUGAAAACUUGCUUGCUAAGGCUAAAGAUUUUGAUGUUUGCGAAGUUACAAUUUCCGACCUUAGAAGUAAAAAUGAAAUAUUGCAUGCUAAGGUUGUAGAACUAAAAUCUUGCAAACCCUCUGCAUCUACCGUUGAGCACACUUCUAUUUGCACUAGAUGUAGAGAUGUUAACAUUGAUGCUAUUCAUGAUCAUAUGGCUUUAAUUAAACAACAAAAUGAUCAUAUAGCAAAAUUAGAUGCUAAAAUUGCCGAGCACAACUUAGAAAAUGAGAAAUUUAAAUUUGCUCGUAGCAUGCUUUAUAAUGGGAGACGCCCGGGCAUCAAGGAUGGCAUUGGCUUCCAAAGGGGAGACAAUGUCAAAAUUAGUGCCUCUCCUAAAAGAUUGUCCAACUUUGUUAAGGGCAAGGCUCCCAUGCCUCAGGAUAACGAGGGUUACAUUUUAUACCCUGCCGGUUAUUCUGAGAGCAAAAUUAGGAGAAUUCAUUCUAGGAAGUCUCACUCUGGCCCUAAUCAUGCAUUUAUGUAUAAGGGUGAGACAUCUAGCUCUAGGCAACCAACCCAUGCUAAGUUGCCUAGAAAGAAAACUACUAGUGCAUCAAAUGAUCAUAACAUUUCAUUUAAAACUUUUGAUGCAUCUUAUGUUUUGACUAACAAAUCCGGCAAAGUAGUUGCCAAAUAUGUUGGGGGCAAGCACAAGGGGUCAAAGACUUGUGUUUGGGUACCCAAAGUUCUUGUGUCUAAUGCCAAAGGACCCAAAACCAUUUGGGUACCUAAAGUCAAGAACUAAACUUGUUUUGUAGGUUUAUGCAUCCGGGGGCUCAAGUUGGAUACUCGACAGCGGGUGCACAAACCACAUGACAGGGGAGAAGAAGAUGUUCUCCUCCUACGAGAAAAACCAAGAUCCCCAAAGAGCGAUCACAUUCGGGGAUGGAAAUCAAGGUUUGGUCAAAGGUUUGGGUAAAAUUGCUAUAUCUCCUGACCAUUCCAUUUCCAAUGUUUUUCUUGUUAAUUCUUUAGAUUACAACUUGCUUUCUGUAUCUCAAUUAUGUCAAAUGGGCUACAACUGUCUAUUCACUGAUGUAGGUGUCACUGUCUUUAGAAGAAGUGAUGAUUCAAUAGCAUUUAAGGGUGUGUUAGAGGGUCAGCUAUACUUAGUAGAUUUUGAUAGAGCUGAACUCGACACAUGCUUAAUUGCUAAGACUAACAUGGGUUGGCUCUGGCAUCGCCGACUAGCCCAUGUUGGGAUGAAGAAUCUUCACAAGCUUCUAAAAGGAGAACACAUUUUAGGAUUAACAAAUGUUCAUUUUGAGAAAGACAGGAUUUGUAGCGCAUGCCAAGCAGGGAAGCAAGUUGGCACUCAUCAUCCGCAUAAGAACAUAAUGACGAUCGACAGGCCACUGGAGCUCCUACACAUGGAUCUAUUUGGCCCGAUCGCUUACAUAAGCAUCGGCGGGAGUAAGUACUGUCUAGUUAUUGUGGAUGAUUAUUCUCGCUUCACUUGGGUAUUCUUUUUACAGGAAAAAUCUCAAACCCAAGAGACCUUAAAGGGGUUCUUGAGACGGGCUCAAAAUGAGUUUGGCUUAAGGAUCAAGAAAAUAAGAAGCGACAACGGGACGGAGUUCAAAAACUCUCAAAUCGAAGGCUUCCUUGAGGAGGAGGGCAUCAAGCAUGAGUUCUCUUCUCCCUACACACCUCAACAAAAUGGUGUAGUGGAGAGGAAGAAUCGAACUCUAUUAGACAUGGCAAGGACCAUGCUUGAUGAGUACAAGACUUCGGAUCGGUUUUGGGCUGAGGCGGUCAACACCGCCUGCUACGCCAUCAACCGGUUAUAUCUACACCGAAUCCUCAAGAAGACAUCAUAUGAACUCCUAACCGGUAAAAAGCCCAACAUUUCAUAUUUUAGAGUCUUUGGUAGCAAAUGCUUUAUUCUUGUUAAAAGAGGUAGAAAAUCUAAAUUUGCUCCUAAGACUGCAGAAGGCUUUUUACUUGGUUAUGACUCAAACACAAGGGCAUAUAGGGUCUUUAACAAGUCCACUGGACUAGUUGAAGUCUCAUGUGACGUUGUGUUUGAUGAAACUAACGGCUCCCAAGUGGAGCAAGUUGAUCUUGAUGAGAUAGGUGAUGAAGAGGCUCCAUGCAUAGCGCUAAGGAACAUGUCCAUUGGAGAUGUAUGUCCUAAGGAGUCCGAAGAGCCUCCAAAUGCACAAGAUCAACCAUCCUCCUCAAUACAAGCAUCUCCACCAACUCAAAAUGAGGAUGAAGCUCAAGUUGAUGAAGUAGAAGAUCAAGCAAAUGAGCCACCUCAAGAUGAUGGCAUUGAUCAAGGGGGAGAUGCAAAUGAGGAAGACAAGGAGGAUGAGGAACAAAGACCGCCACACCCAAGAGUCCACCAAGCAAUCCAACGAGAUCACCCCGUCGACACCAUCCUCGGCGACAUUCAUAAGGGGGUAACUACUCGAUCUCGUGUUGCACAUUUUUGUGAACAUUACUCGUUUGUUUCCUCUAUUGAGCCACACAGGGUAGAGGAAGCACUCCAAGAUUCGGAUUGGGUGGUGGCGAUGCAAGAGGAGCUCAACAACUUCACUAGAAAUGAGGUAUGUCAUUUAGUUCCACGUCCUAACCAAAAUGUUGUAGGGACCAAAUGGGUCUUCCGCAACAAGCAAGAUGAGCAUGGUGUGGUGACAAGGAACAAAGUUCGACUUGUGGCCAAGGGAUACUCCCAAGUCGAAGGUUUGGAUUUCGGUGAAACCUAUGCACCCGUAGCUAGGCUUGAGUCAAUUCGCAUAUUAUUAGCCUAUGCUACUUACCAUGGCUUUAAGCUUUAUCAAAUGGACGUGAAAAGUGCCUUCCUUAAUGGACCAAUCAAGGAAGAGGUCUAUGUUGAGCAACCUCCCGGCUUUGAAGACAGUGAGUAUCCUAACCAUGUCUAUAAGCUCUCUAAGGCGCUUUAUGGGCUCAAGCAAGCCCCAAGAGCAUGGUAUGAAUGCCUUAGAGAUUUUCUUAUUACAAAUGGAUUCAAAGUCGGAAAGGCCGAUCCUACACUCUUUACUAAAACUCUUGAAAAUGACUUGUUUGUAUGCCAAAUUUAUGUUGAUGAUAUUAUAUUUGGGUCUACUAACGAGUCUACAUGUGAAGAGUUUAGUAGGAUCAUGACACAGAAAUUCGAGAUGUCAAUGAUGGGGGAGUUGAAGUAUUUUCUAGGAUUUCAAGUGAAGCAACUCCAAGAGGGCACCUUCAUUAGCCAAACAAAGUAUACACAAGACAUUCUCAACAAGUUUGGGAUGAAGGAUGCCAAACCCAUCAAGACACCCAUGGGAACUAAUGGGCAUCUCGACCUCGACACGGGAGGUAAGUCCGUGGAUCAAAAGGUAUACCGGUCGAUGAUAGGUUCAUUACUUUAUCUUUGUGCAUCUCGACCGGAUAUUAUGCUUUCCGUAUGCAUGUGUGCAAGAUUCCAAGCCGACCCUAAGGAAGCUCACCUUACGGCCGUGAAACGAAUCUUGAGAUAUUUAGCUUAUACUCCUAAGUUUGGGCUUUGGUAUCCUAGGGGAUCCACUUUUGAUUUAAUUGGUUAUUCGGAUGCCGAUUGGGCGGGGUGCAAAAUCAAUAGGAAGAGCACAUCGGGGACUUGCCAGUUCUUGGGAAGAUCCUUGGUGUCUUGGGCUUCAAAGAAGCAAAAUUCGGUCGCUCUUUCCACCGCCGAAGCCGAGUAUAUUGCUGCAGGCCAUUGUUGCGCGCAAUUACUUUGGAUGAGGCAAACCCUGCGGGACUACGGUUACAAAUUAACCAAAGUCCCUUUGCUAUGUGAUAAUGAGAGUGCAAUCAAAAUGGCCGACAAUCCCGUCGAGCAUAGCCGCACUAAACACAUAGCCAUUCGGUAUCACUUUUUAAGGGAUCACCAACAAAAGGGAGAUAUCGAGAUUUCUUACAUUAAUACUAAAGAUCAAUUAGCCGAUAUCUUUACCAAGCCUCUUGAUGAACAAUCUUUUAACAAACUUAGGCAUGAGCUCAAUAUUCUUGAUUCUAGGAAUUUCUUUUGUUAAAAUUGCACACAUUGCUCUUCUAUAUACCUUUGAUCAUGUCUCUCUCAUAUGCUAUGACUAAUGUGUUUUCAAGUCUAUUUCAAACCAAGUCAUAGGUGUAUUGAAAGGGAAUUGGAGUCUUCGGCGAAGACAAAGGCUUCCACUACGUAACUCAUCCUUCGCCGUUGAUCCAAGCAACUCUCCGUUCUAGGGGGAGAAAACAUGAGCACCAAGCAAAAGGACUUCGUCUUUGGUAUAAUCUUAACUCAUUUAUUUAUGACCAAAGGGGAAGGAAACACUUCGAGGGCUCUAAUGAUUCCGUUUUUGGCGAUUCAUGCCAAAAAGGGGGAGAAAUGAGCCCAAAGCAAAAGGACCGCACCACCACCAAUUUCAAAAACUUAAGUGUUGAAUGUUUUCAAUCGGUAUCCUAUUAUGUUCAAAAGGGGGAGAAAGUAGUAUUUCAAAAUGAUAUAUCAAAACCCUCUUGAACACUAAGAGGAGAAUCUCUUUUAGAGGGAGUUUUGUUUAGUCAAAGGAAAAGCAUUUGAAACAGGGGGAGAAAAUUUCAAAUCUUGAAAAUGCUUCUCAAAAUCUUAUUCAUUUGCCUUUGACUAUUUGCAAAAGAACUUUGAAAUGGAUUUACAAAAGAUUUUGCAAAAACAAAACAUGUGGUGCAAAAGUGGUCCAAAAUGUUAUAUAAGAAAGAAACAAUCCAUGCAUAUCUUGUAAGUAUUUAUAUUGGCUCAAAUUCUAAGCAACCUUCACACCUACAUUAUGCAAACUAGUUCAAUUAUGCACUUCUAUAUUUGCUUUGGUUUGUGUUGGCAUCAAUCACCAAAAAGGGGGAGAUUGAAAGGGAAUUAGGCUUACACCUAGUCCCUAAUUAAUUUUGGUGGUUGAAUUGCCCAACACAAACAAAUUGGACUAACUAGUUUGCCCAAGUGUAUAGAUUAUACAGGUGUAAAAGGUUCACACUCAGCCAAUAAAAAGACCAAGUUUUGGAUUCAACAAAGGAGCAAAGAGGCAACCAAAGGCCCUCUGGUCUGGGAGCACCGGACUGUCCGGUGUACACCGGACAGUGUCCGGUGCACCGCCGGACAGUGUCCGGUGCACCAGAGGACUCCAACUCGAACUCGCCACCUUCGAGAAUUUCCAGAGGCGACUCCGCUAUAAUUCACCGGACUGUCCGGUGUAGACCGGACAGUGUCCGGUGCGCCAAGGGAGGUCGGCCUCAGAAACUCGCCAGCUUCGGGAAACUCCAACGGCUAGUCCGCUAUAAUUCACCGGACUGUCCGGUGUACACCGGACUGUCCGGUGCGACUCCGGAGCAACGACUAUCUCCGCGCCAACGGCUCUCUGCCGCGCAUUUAAUGCGCGCUCUGCGCGCGCAGGUGUCAGGCGCGCCCAUUCCGGCACACCAGACAAGGAACAGUAGAUGUCCGGUGUGCACCGGACACCCAGGCGGGCCCACAAGUCAGAAGCUCCAACGGUCAGAAUCCAACGGCAGUGAUGACGUGGCAGGGGCACCGGACUGUCCGGUGUGCACCGGACUGUCCGGUGCGCCAUCGAACAGACAGCCUCCCAACGGCCACAUUUGGUGGUUGGGGCUAUAAAUACCCCAACCACCCCACCAUUCAUUGCAUCCAAGUUUUCCACUUCCCAACUACUACAAGAGCUCUAGCAUUCAAUUCUAGACACACCUAAGAGAUCAAAUCCUCUCCAAUUUCCACACAACGCCAUAGUGACUAGAGAGAGUGAUUUGCUUGUGUUCCUUCGAGCUCUUGCGCUUGGAUUGCUUUCUUCUUUCUUGAUCCGUUCUUUGCAAUCAAACACACUUGUAAUUGAGGCAAGAGACACCAAUCUUGUGGUGGUCCUUGUGGGAACUUUGUGUUCCAAGUGAUUGAGAAAAGAAAGCUCACUCGAUCCGUGGAUCGUUUGAGAGAGGGAAGGGUUGAAAGAGACCCGGCCUUUGUGGCCUCCUCAACGGGGAGUAGGUUUGCAAGAACCGAACCUCGGUAAAACAAAUCUCCGUGUCUCACUUGCUUAUUCGCUUGGGAUUUGUUUUUGCGCCCUCUCUCGCGGACUCAUUUCUUUAUUACUAACACUAACCCGGCUUGUAGUUGUGUUUAUAUUUGUAAAUUUCAGUUUCGCCCUAUUCACCCCCCCUCUAGGCGACUUUCAAUUACACGUACAUGAUACUGAAGAUGCCAGGACCGCAAGGAAUCAUAACUGUGCGUGCCGAUUUCCAAGGCGCCGCAGAGUGUUUCCGAGUGGCCAUCCAAGCAGCCCUCACCACCAAGCCGUCGACGGUUUCUUCAACACAGGCGAACUCUAAGCCUGAGGAGGACCUUGCAGUACCGGCAAACGAAGCUCAGGCCGCGACCUCUAUGCGACCGACUGAAGAAACUAAAAGGAUCAACCUGGGGUUCGCUGAUGAACGCAAGACUGCCAUCAUCAGCUCCAGCCUGGACGACAAAUAGGAAAGCGCGCUCAUCCAGUUUUUGCAAGAUAACCGAGACGUAUUCGCGUGGCAACCCGCGGAUAUGCCAGGAGUCCCAAGAGAACUGGCCGAGCACCAACUGAAGGUCUAUCCCCAAGCUAGGCCGAUCCGGCAAAAACUACGUCGUUUCACGCCCGACAAGAGAGAGGCCAUUCGCGCCGAGUUAGCCCGCUUGGUCGCGGCUGGAUUCAUUAGAGAAGUGUUACAUCCCGAGUGGUUAGCCAACCCUGUUCUUGUACUCAAAAAGAAUAAAGUGGAUUGGCGCAUGUGCGUCGACUAUACUGAUCUCAACAAACACUGUCCGAAGGAUCCCUUCGGGCUCCCGAGGAUAGAUCAGGUGGUGGACUCCACCGCUGGAUGUUCUGUGCUGUCUUUCCUGGAUUGCUAUUCCGGAUACCACCAGAUUAGUUUGGCAAAAGAAGACGAAGAAAAAACAACGUUCAUUACUCCGUUUGGUGCUUUUUGUUAUACCUCCAUGCCGUUCGGCCUCAAGAACGCUGGAGCGACUUAUCAGAGAGCCAUUCAAACAUGCUUAGCCGAUCACUGGGGCAAGCGUGUGGAGGCCUACGUAGAUGAUGUGGUAAUCAAAACAGAGAACUCGGAAAACUUCAUCGAAGACUUACAGCUGGUUUUCAACAGUCUGAGACGGUAUAGAUGGAAGCUUAAUCCCGAAAAAUAUGUUUUCGGGGUACCAGCAGGAAAGUUACUCGGUUUAUUGUCAGCCACCGGGGAAUUGAGGCUAAUCCAGAUAAGAUUGAAGCUAUCAUGAAGAUGGAAGCACCUCGAUCACAAAAGAAGGUUUAGCGACUUACCGGAUGUAUGGCAGCUCUGAGCAGAUUUAUAUCCAGGCUGGGGGAAAAAGGUUUACCAUUUUACAAGCUACUCAAGAAGGUGGAUAAGUUUCAGUGGACUUUAGAGGCACAAGAAGCUCUAGAUGCACUGAAGAAAUUCUUGACAACACCACCAGUACUGAAGCCACCACGACGAGCUACGUCAACUCAACCAGCUGAAGAUCUACUACUGUAUAUCUCUUGCACGACUCACGUGGUAAGCACCGCGUUGGUAGUUGAGCGAGCAGAAGAAGGACAUGCCUACCCAGUGCAACAUCCUGUUUACUUCAUCAGUGAAGUUCUGGGCCCCUCAAAGAAAAAGUAUCCUCAAGUUCAGAAGCUAUUAUAUGCAGUACUUCUAACUGCCCGCAAGCUACGCCACUACUUUGAUGACCACAAAGUCAUAGUAGUCACUGGUUUUCCGAUAGGGGAUAUUCUUCACAACAAGGAAGCCAUUGGCCGAAUAGCCAAGUGGGCUUGUGAGCUGGGAUCUCAUGACAUCGAGUUCCGACCUCGCACUGCCAUCAAAACUCAAGCACUGGUUGAUUUCGUAUCAGAGUGGACUGAACAGCAAGUACCAGAUAACCCAGAGACUACAGAAGUGUGGCGAAUGUAUUUUGAUGGCUCACUGAAGCUGCAGGGAGCAGGAGCAGGAAUUCUCUUCACCGCACCUGGAGGCGAGCACCUCAAAUAUGCCCUCCAGUUGCUGUUUCCGGCCUCCAACAAUGCAGCCAAGUAUGAAGCUCUGAUCCAUGGAUUGAACAUCGCCAUAUCAUUGGGCAUCAAGAGAUUGAUGGUGUACGGAGACUCUCUGGUAGUCAUUAGCCAGAUAAACAAAGAGUGGGAUUGUUCAAGCGAUUCAAUGGGAAAAUACUGCACUGCCGUCCGAAAGCUGGAAGAUAAAUUUGAGGGUCUGGAAUUUCAUCAUGUAGAAAGAGAUCGGAACACAGCAGCCGAUGUAUUGUCCAAGCUAGGAUCCAGUCCAACUCAGGUCCCACCUAGAGUCUUUGUGCAAGAAAUACUACAGCCGAGCAUCUCAAUGGAUCAAACAGAAGAGUGUAAUAUUAUAGAUCAACCCGAGUCAGACUCUGAUGACUGGAGAAGGCCAAUCAUCAAGUAUAUAAAGAAUGAAGAGGAACCAGAUGACAAGAAUUCAGCCGAGCGCAUUGCCAGACAGUCGGCUCACUACACACUCAUUGGGGAGACAUUAUACAGAAGGGGUGCAUCAGGCGUCCUCAUGAAGUGCAUUCUCCCAUCUACUGGGAAGCGACUUCUGGAGGAAGUCCAUGCUGGGCAAUGUGGAAUACAUCCAGCAUCCAGAACACUAGUCGGGAAGGUCUUCAGGUCAGGAUUUUAUUGGCCAACAACGAAGGGUGAUGCAGCCGAGUUAGUUCAGAGGUGCGAAGCUUGCCAAUACUUGUCAAAACAACAACAUCUACCAGCGCAGCAACUGCAGACCAUACCAGUAACUUGGCCUUUCACAUGCUGGGGACUGGAUAUGAUUGGACCUUUCAAGAAAGCUCAAGGAGGAUACACUCAUGUAUUGGAAGCAAUCGACAAAUUCACUAAAUGGAUAGAGUUCAAGCCCAUUGCCUCUUUGACCUCAGCUAAGGCCGUGGAAUUCAUACAAGGCAUAAUAUUCAGAUUCGGGAUACCAAACAGCAUCGUAACUGACCUAGGAUCCAACUUCACAAGUUCAGAGUUCUUCGACUUCUGCGAGCAAAAAAGCAUUCAGAUCAAAUAUGCUUCUGUAGCACACCCGAGAGCCAACGGGCAGGUUGAGCGAGCCAACGGGAUGAUACUGGAAGCACUCAGGAAAAAGGUCUUCGAUAAGAAUGAAAAGUUCGCGGGAAAAUGGAUAAGGGAAUUGCCCUAUGUCGUCUGGAGCCUAAGAACCCAACCUAGCCGAGCUCUGCAUGGAAACACUCCUUUCUUCAUGGUCUAUGGGUCGGAGGCAGUGUUACUCGCCGAUCUCAAGUUCGGGGCGCCAAGGUUGAUCUUCGAAAACAUAGCAGAAGUCGAGGCCACCAGGCUGGAGGACAUUGAUAUACUCGAAGAAGAACGGCUAAAUGCGGUAAUCCAAUCAGCAUGGUACCAGCAGACUCUAAGGCGCUAUCACGACAAGGCCGUGCGACAGCGAUCCUUCUCAGUAGGAGAUCUCGUCCUCGGCCGAAUUCUAACGGGGGAGGGACGACACAAGUUAUCGCCUUUAUGGGAAGGACCCUUCAUAGUAGCAGAAGUCACUCGGCCAGGAUCAUAUCGUCUCACUUAGAUGGACGGCACAGAGGUCGGGAACUCCUGGAACAUAGAACACCUCAGGAAGUUUUAUCCCUAGCUGAAUUUCAAAAGCUACCGGGACGACGAUGUACUCUGUAAAAUGGAAAUAUGUCAUCAAUAAAAAAGGGCUUCCAAGAUACUCAGUUUGUUCAUGAUUGACUUGCAUUCUUACUUAACUCGGGGUGACCACUAUGCCCUGCUAACGGAGCAAUCGGCUUAAGUCGGCAACGACUUAAGGCGGUGCAACAUGCUCGCGCUUACUUAACCCGGGGUGACCACUAUGCCCUGCUAACGGAGCAAUCGGCUUAAGUCGUCAACGACUUAAGGCGGUGCAACAUGCUCACGCUUACUUAACUCGGGGUGACCACUAUGCCCUGCUAACGGAGCAAUCGGCUUAAGUCGACAACGACUUAAGGCAGUGUAACAUGCUCGCGCUUACUUAACUCGGGGUGACCACUAUACCCUGCUAACGGAGCAAUCGGCUUAAGUCGGCAACGACUUAAGGCGGUGCAACAUGCUCACGCUUACUUAACUCGGGGUGACCACUAUGCCCUGCUAACAGAGCAAUCGGCUUUAGUCGGCAACGACUUAAGGUAGUGCAACAUGCUCAUGCUUACUUAACUCGGGGUGACCACUAUGCCCUGCUAACGGAGCAAUCGGCUAAAGUCAGCAGCGACUUAAGCCGGGGCAACAUGCUCACGCCUACACAAUUCAGGGUGACCACUACGCCCUAUUAACAGAAGCAAUCGACUUAAGUCAGCAGCGACUUAAGGCGAUCCGACGUGAUUACAAUUACUCAUAUAAGGAUGACUUCUAUAUCCCGCAAACAAAUUUCAAAACCAUCGCACGUCAUUUUACUACUACGAAUUUAUGAACUGACGAAUUCUGAAACAAUAUGAAAAUAACACUAUCGUCUAAGUACUGAAAUGACGUCCUCUAACAAAUGUUUGACCAUGCUAACCGCGCGCUCAAAGCACGCAAAAUGUCCCUCUAUUUUGUGAUAUCUUUCUCAGGAGCAAUCGAUGAGGAAGGACGACUCGAGGAAUCAGGGGCAGCAUUCACAUCAGCCCUUAUAUCUUCGGGAACAACCACGCCGGGUCUCCUCAUCAAGAUUCGCCCCGCUCGAAUAGCCUUGUCCAUGGCUCUAUCGCGCUGGGCUCUGAGAGUAACAGAAGUUUCUUCGGCAACCUUGGCAGCCAGCCGAGCAGUUUCUAACUCUUGGGCGAUAGAUUUCUUGGAAGCUCGGAGUUCUUUGAUAGUAGCGUCCUUCGCUGAUAUCAACUGCUUGAGCCGGGUCACUUCAUCCGUGGAUUCCUGCAGCUUACAGCGUUGGUUGUCUAACUCUUCCAUGGUGAAGCGAUGACUCCUCUCCAGGAUAGUCAACGAGUUGCUAGAAUCACGAUACAAUCUGUCAAGACUGUCGCGAGAAGCAGCAAGGAUACGUUUUUCUUCCUGCAAACAAAAGUCAACUCCCUCAAACACCAAGCAAGUAAUAGGAGCACAACAAGGCAAAGCACAGUCUCAUAAAUCACCUUUUCAGAAUUGAGCUGAGCAUGAAGAGAAGAACUCAGUGCAUUGGCGUCAUCUAAGGCAGCGGAGACCUGACCUAGUUCAGUCUGACUUUGAGAGUACUUUUCCUCAAAGUCAGUGCACCGCUGGACCAAUUCAGCCUGAUCUCGGGAAUGUUUUUCCUCAAGAGUGGAAAUCUGCCGAGUCAUACCUAGCAGGAGACAAUCAAACAAAAAGGGGUCAGAGUGUAAAGCAGUCCACAGUGAAGACAAAGAGAAGCAAAAAAGCACUAACCAGCGUUGGUCGCCUCCAAUUCAGAGACACGAUGUUGAAGUGACACUGGAUUCCAACAUGCAAGUGACGAAGCUACUUCUGGGACAGAAGCACCCUGUAACCUCAGCUGGCUAGCCAUCCCAUCCACCAAAGCCUGAUGAGGAGAACAGAUGAGUGUAAUGAUAGCAGUUUAUGCAAUGUAAAAACCAAGCUAAAAUACAUCACAGUACCUAGAGGUUGGAAAAGAACGAAGGGAUCCCCAAAUCAGGAGAGAUCAAUUGAUAACCGGGCGUAAGGCCACCACCCGAAGCAGCUUGCAACGAACCAGCAGGAAUCAACUCGGUGCCAUCAACAGAGCCCAACACUCGGUCAGCGGGGACGCUACCCUCUAAAGCGACUCCCUGGUCCAAGGCUUGGGCUACCACCAUACAGCCGGAGUGUGGAGGCGAUCCCGCAUGAACGUCCAUGGAAGUACAGGAGGGAGACCCCGCUCGGACACCCUCGGGGGCUGGGUCAUAGUUUGCACUGCCCACUUGAACCGGAUCAUCCCCGGCAGCACCCUCGGGGGCUGGGCAGUGGCUUACACUUCCCACCCGAACCAAGUCAUCCCCGGCGACAUCCUCGGGGGCUGGGCAUGUGUCAACACCACCCUAGGGGUCCAGGUUCUCUGCGGUAGCCACUUCUAAGGCUAAUGGGCCCUCAGUUACUUCCAUGGGACCAGGACGAUCCAAGUCAGUCUCCCGACCCUCGAGAUUGCGCUCUAAGGUCGACGAGGCACGGGAUGACCUCAACCCAGCAUUAAGCACAUCAGCACAAACCUCCAUCACACCAUCAUCUGCUGGCUCCGAUAACAAAUCCUCUGGAACCAUAUCCUCAAGAGUCUGAUCAAAAUUGGCAGGGACAGUUCUUGCAGGCCAAUGAGAGCAGACAAAGCAGGAGAGGGAACUCCACUACUUUCACCGCUAGCGAUGAACUGCCGACUGUUUUUCCGAGUCAAAGGAACUUCAUCUUCUUCCUCCUCGUCGUCCACAUUAGCAACACAGGCAGCACCCCCAUUGGGAUCAGCAGCAGAUGAAGCACUCACAUUGGGAUCAGCAACAGAUUGGGUACACCCAUUGGGGUCAGCGUCAGUAAAUUCAGUCACAGGCACUUCUUCAGCAGCAGGAACCGAGGUACCAACGUCCCGAUCCAAACUGGAUACUCGCUGGAGGCGUCUCCUUUUCUUUUUCUGCUCAUCAGCAGAAGGAUCAGGCUGAUUGGCUCGGCAAGGGCGCCUCAGGCGAGUACUGGCAGGCUUCUGAGUAUCCAAAGUUGUAUCAGCCUCUUGGAGGGGCGCCACUACCAAGCCCUAGCAGGAGCAGCGUCAGAAGAGUCCUCAGCCAGCAAAUCAAGCAUAGCGCUUAUCUCUGCAUCACUAGGGUUCAGGGGCACCUCAAAAUGGACCUACCGUUCAUCAUCAGGAAUCUCCCCGAGCGAGGCAACCAAGGCACUGACUUCUUCAGCAGAAGGCCGCACUCUAAGGCCCAAACUGCCAUCAGUGACAGGAGGAUUCGACACAAAAAGAGUGAAGGCUUUGGGAGGAGGCAAGUUCCAGGCUGAGAAUGCCACUGGGGCACCAACAUUUGACACUUUGUGUAACACUCAAAAUUGUUUACAAGGAAUAAAUAGUGAAUUCCCUACUGUAUGUGCCUUAAUUGCAUCAUGAAAAGAGCAUGCAUAUAAUUAAGAGUGAGACAAAUGAUUCAAAAAUAAAAUAAAGUACAUCUUGUUGGAGUUUUAUGUUUGUGCAUUAAAUAAAAAUAAUAACAAUAUAAAAAUGACUAGAAAUUGGAUUAAACCCUAAGUUGAAAAAUAGGGUUUUCUAAAAUGAGAAGAAGAGGAAUGAUACAAAAAUAUAAAUAAUGUUAUUAUACUUUUAAAAUUGGUAAUUUUUCAUUUCACAAUAUGAUUUGAGAAUAAAUUUGCACAAGGUUUGAAACUAAAUUCGAAUUCAAAUUGAUUUUUAGAAAUAAAGAAAAGAAAAUGGGAGAUGAAAAGAAAAGGAAAAGCAAAAUCCCACUGUUGGGCCCAAAACCCUCAAUUCGGCCCACCAUCUCUUUUGAUCCGCGCAGCCCACCACUCACUCUCGGCGCCGACAUGGUGGGCCCACAGGGCAGUCGCGCCAGCGCACACAGCAUUUCCCCUUUCACUGCGUCGCGGGGCCCACUGGUUAGCCUCUUCGCUCCUACCACUCCGUCGCUCGCUUACGUAUGGGUCCAGCUCGUCAGUUCCUUGGCGCGCGUCAGGAAAUGUUUGUCUCGCCGACUUGUGGGACCCUCGUGUCAGUUUCGCCUUCAUCCUAACGGACUGGCGCGGGUCUUACGCGGAUGGCGCCGGAGGAAUCGACGGCGCCGUUCUGACCGGCACGGCCCUCGGUGCAUAUAUACCGAGGCGCUCUGUCCAUCCGAGCUGUUAGAAAUCGCUACCCACGACCUAGUUUUCCCUGUGCGUUGUGUUUCCCAUCGCCGCCGUCGACACACGGUAGAACAGGGUGCCGCCGCCGCCAAAACCUCGCACCAUAUCGCCGCUCCCCCUGUUUUGUGCCCGGAGGAACUCGCGGAUUCGUGCGCAACCCCAUCACCGACUAAUUUGGACUUGUGGUUGGCUCGGGCCACCUCGAUUGCUCACCGGUGUCCCAGCUCCGCCUCGGAUCCGCUUAGCACCGACGACUGGCCGCAACACGGUCCCAAUUGCCGGUAACAACUUCCCCUAUGUCUCACCGUAGCUCUGCAUUCGUAUAGUUUACAUACAAUCGGACUAUGGGGCCCUGAAUUGCCGUAUCGGGUUACUCCGGCGAGGAGCGCCGCCGUAGCGCAUGCGGCAACCUCGCUGCCGUGGCGUGUGGUUGGGGAUGAGAGCCUAGCCGUCGAUUGAGCAAUCAAGGGUGCAGGUUAGAUCGGGGGGGGAUCAGGCCAGGGUAAAUGCGGAUCGUCCAAUCGCGAUCGGGCGAGUCGGGGCGAUCGCAGGGGAUUUUAAAUCCAAACCGUAGAUUUGUAAUCGAGCGGUGCCUACUGGAUACCGAUUCGUUUCGAAGCCAGUCUAAUCGUAGCCGUAGAACUUUAAUCCAACGACCGGGAUUGGCCCGUACCCCUUCGCGGGUACGUUUUACAAAAGAAACCCCGCCAAACUUUGAAACCAACCCGCCGUCCAGUGGAACUAUUCCCUGAGUCUGGGUUAUCUUGCGCAGAGACCCUUGAAGUUAUCAGGAAUCGAGGCCCAGUCCUGAGAUGAUUAAAAACAGAGAAUUAAUUAUAGAAAUUCGUUUUUAAUAAAAAAACAAAUAUAGAAACUUGUUUAAUUCAUAGAAAAUGCAUAUGAACUCCAAAUUGAUCCAUUCCAGUUCCAAAAUUUUUAUAAUAUUAUUUUCUAACCAUUAGUGUCUCUGUUUUGACAUGAAAGCAGUAAGAAAAUUAAUUUACCAUUUAAUCCUAUCUCAAGCACAUUAAAUCUUAGGAAAUUCAUAUCUUAAAAUCUAUAAUACCAAAAAUUAUGAUUUAUGUUCUUAGGAGUUUAUUUUAAUGUGUAGAUUUUUAUGGUGUAUUUUAUUCACAUGUUUGGUGCAAUGUUAAUUUUUGCUAUACUAUGUAUGUAUUGUGUUGAUGCGAGUAGACGAGCAAGCCACUGUGGAUUCUGAGGUUCAGCAAGUAGAAGUAGCUGAGCAGGAGCUCAUUGAAGGCAAGUUGUGCCCUUGAUCACUUACUUUUUCCCAGCCAUGUUCUUAUUAAUUAUAAUGAUCUGCAUAGGUUAAUUUUGAUGGGACCCAAUAGGUUACCCCAGUUUUGGCUAUCUUUAUACCUUGUUUUGCCACUAAAUAUUUUUGAGUAGUACUUGCUAUCGCUUAUUGUGGUUUUGGGUAUGAAGAUACACUAUUAAUUACUUCACUUUUAUUAUCUUUUUAUUAUUAAUGUUCAUGUUAAGAUCAUUAUGUUAAUGGGAACAUGGAGCGACCACCCGGAAAAACAGUGCUACCACAAGGGUAUAAUGGGACGCCCUUGGCUGAUUAACUAGGAAAGCUAGUGGAGGUCUUCCUUACCCGAAAGGGGCAAGGGCAGUAGGGGAGUGGUCAGUGUAGGGAGGUCCUUGGUUGAUUUUGCUGCGAUGGCGGUCAGGCAAGAACCCUGCAUUGGAGCUUCCUAUAAACUGUAGCGGGUUUUCUGAAGCUAGUGGAACUUUGUAAAGGCCUCGUAGUGUUACCCUGCCUCGCCUCCUCGGUAGAGGUGUAUGGGAUUGGCCAUCUCUUGGCAGAUGGGUAACAUGACUUGUGGGUAAAGAUGCACAACCUCUGCAGAGUGUAAAACUGGUAUACUAGCCGUGCUCACGGUCAUGAGCGGCUCUGACCCUCACAUGAUUAAAUUAUGGAACUUAAAUUCAAUUUUGUCAUUUGCAUAUGCAUGGGUUUAUUAUUAAUUUUGUUCUAUUAUUUUACUUAAGGUUUGGUAUUUACUUACACUUAGUAAUUGCUAAUAAAAUUUUGACCAACUACUUAAAAGCAAUGCUCAGCUUUAACCAUUCUCUUUGAUAAGCCUUACACUCCAUGAGCUCCCACCUUUGGUGAGUUCAUGUCACAUUAUUCCCCACGACUUGUUGAGCGAUGAACGUAUGUGAGCUCACUCUUGCUGUCUCACACCCCCCAACAGGAGAAGAGCAGGUGGUUCAGGAGGAGCCACAAGGCGAGGAGUAUGAUCUGAUCUAGGUGGCGUUUCUCAGUUGACAUUGGCGCCGACGAUCCUUAGUUCGUUUUAUAUUUACUCUUUUAUUUUGUAAUAAGUCUUCCGCUAUGUAAUAAAUACUCUGAUGUUCAUGACAUUUAUCUCUAUACACUCUGUUAUUAUAUAUGUUGUCUUCUUGGC
rnacentral:lncRNA from 1 species